rnacentral:rRNA from 1 species
GAUGAACGCUGGCGGCGUGCUUAACACAUGCAAGUCGUACGGUAAGGCCCUUUCGGGGGUACCCGAGUGGCGAACGGGUGAGUAACACGUGAGUAACCUGCCCACAACUUUGGGAUAACGCUAGGAAACUGGUGCUAAUACUGGAUAUGUGCUCCUGCUGCAUGGUGGGGGUUGGAAAGCUCCGGCGGUUGUGGAUGGACUCGCGGCCUAUCAGCUUGUUGGUGGGGUAGUGGCCUACCAAGGCGGCGACGGGUAGCCGGCCUGGGAGGGUGACCGGCCACAUUGGGACUGAGAUACGGCCCAGACUCCUACGGGAGGCAGCAGUGGGGAAGAUUGCACAAUGGGCGCAAGCCUGAUGCAGCAACGCCGCGUGCGGGAUGACGGCCUUCGGGUUGUAAACCGCUUUCAGCAGGGACGAAGCUUUUUGUGACGGUACCUGCAGAAGAAGCACCGGCUAACUACGUG